GAUGAACGCUGACAGAAUGCUUAACACAUGCAAGUCAACUUGAACUUCGGUUUGGGUGGCGGACGGGUGAGUAACGCGUAAAGAACUUGCCUCACAGCUAGGGACAACAUUUGGAAACGAAUGCUAAUACCUGAUAUUAUGAUUAUAUGGCAUCGUAUAAUUAUGAAAGCUAUAUGCGCUGUGAGAGAGCUUUGCGUCCCAUUAGCUAGCUGGAGAGGUAACAGCUCACCAAGGCGAUGAUGGGUAGCCGGCCUGAGAGGGUGAUCGGCCACAAGGGGACUGAGACACGGCCCUUACUCCUACGGGAGGCAGCAGUGGGGAAUAUUGGACAAUGGACCGAGAGUCUGAUCCAGCAAUUCUGUGUGCACGAUGAAGUUUUUCGGAAUGUAAAGUGCUUUCAGUUGGGAAGAAAAAAAUGACGGUACCAACAGAAGAAGUGACGGCUAAAUACGUG
rnacentral:rRNA from 1 species